AAGUAAUUAACUCAAAUUGGUAGAGUGUCUCACUUACAAUGAGAAUGUUAAAGGUUCAAGUCCUUUAUUACUUA
rnacentral:tRNA from 1 species